ACUUUUAAUGGACAACAGUAGUCCGA
rnacentral:tRNA from 1 species